GCAUGGUUGUCGUCAGCUCGUGUCGUGAGAUGUUGGGUUAAGUCCCGCAACGAGCGCAACCCUUAAGCUUAGUUGCCAUCAUUAAGUUGGGCACUCUAAGUUGACUGCCGGUGACAAACCGGAGGAAGGUGGGGAUGACGUCAAAUCAUCAUGCCCCUUAUGAUUUGGGCUACACACGUGCUACAAUGGACAAUACAAAGGGUGGCGAAACCGCGAGGUCAAGCAAAUCCCAUAAAGUUGUUCUCAGUUCGGAUUGUAGUCUGCAACUCGACUACAUGAAGCUGGAAUCGCUAGUAAUCGUGGAUCAGCAUGCCACGGUGAAUACGUUCCCGGGUCUUGUACACACCGCCCGUCACACCACGAGAGUUUGUAACACCCGAAGCCGGUGGAGUAACCUUUUGGAGCUAGCCGUCGAAGGUGGGACAAAUGAUUGGGGUGAAGUCGUAACAAGGUAGCCGUAUCGGAAGGUGCGGCUGGAUCACCUCCUUUCUAAGGA
rnacentral:rRNA from 1 species